AUAACUAAUCCUAUAUAAGCCAACUAAUGCUAAAGAUUUUUGGAACCUCAAAUUAGAGUUCAUAUUUGGAAUAUAAGGAUUUUUGUUCUUUGAUCAUUUAGCGUUUGUUUUAGACAACAGAUAUUAUAUUGUACUUAGUAACAUUUGAAUCUUUGAAAUGUUGCACAUGCUCGAAUUUGUCUGAGAUGAGGCUCAAUUGCUCAAUUUCAAGGGCUUGAUUGAUUCAAAUUAAAAUAUGAGGGCCCAAUUGAUUGCCAAUAAAAUUUGAGGUUUGA
rnacentral:misc_RNA from 1 species